UUCAUAUGUGAACACUUUGACAGUAUAUCAAAAAAUAUCAGCGCACAUGUGAAUGGUAUUAUUCCUAUUCACGUAAAUCCGGUUAUGUCUCUGACAUUACCAGCCCGCAUGUUUUUUCAAUCAUUCAAUCAAUCCAUGAAGAUCAAUAGAGUCACGAUCUGCAAAAAGGAAAACAAAUAACGUAGCUGAUUAAUGAACAUAUUAUGAGAUGUAAUUUUACCGGCCUUGAAAUACAUUUCAACAUUAUCAUCGAUUACUUUCAGUCUGUGUUCCAUCCCAUAUCUCACAUAUUUUCACACCGCAAACACAAUUCGUAAAUAUUGCAAAUGCAUCCAGCUCCAGCUAAGUAAUUACGAGACCGGCAUACAGUGAUAUACCGAUGAUGCACUAAAGGCUUUAUCAAAUGAGUAUGAAAUCAGACAUUCCACCACCAAGUUAAGACGUCAUGGUGUGAACUGGUAUCGAUGAUAAAUAAUGAAAUCAGUGCCGGUUGAUUGAGAAACUACACGCCCGCUUGUGAUUCACAGUCGGAUUUUAUCGGACGCAACAUUUCAUAUCGGCGAGCUGAAAGAUACGCGAGAUUAGCUGCCGAGUUCUGUUACCGUGCGGUUACCUGAAUCAGUUUUCUUACGGAUCAGAUUGGCACCCGAGUCACACGGAAUCCGAAGGAUCGCGUCGAGUCUGGAUGCACUAGGAUGACCUUGCUGAAGCGGUGACAUAAAUUUCGAUUGUGUGGAUUCUGCAUCUACCGCGAGUUACUGAAGUAGCCUUCGAAGGAUAAUCGGUGCUGAAUUCGAAUCGCCUAUUAACAGAUAACAGAAAAAACGUGUGUGAAAUUAGUUACCAAUUCUACAGCAAACGAAAUGGGUGGCUGUUGCAGUAGUUCUGACUCGCAGGACAUCACAACGGUUCCCGAUCGUCCCGGUUUGCCGGAGGAGGCGCCGACGGGGGUUCCCUAUGGAUUGAGUGGCGGAGGCGGUGCUGGUGGGGCCACCGAUCAAAGCGUUAAUGGCUGAAACUGACGACGGUUGCGUCAUCAGAGAACGCUAAAAUUACAAAAUAAUUAAUGGUAAGAGCUAGGAUUGAAUUUUCAAGGUUUUCCCUGUCCGACACGAGUAAGACAGACGACCUUGUUUCGCAUUUGGAAGUAUUGAAGCUCUCAUGAAUUGAG